GGGGCUGUGACUCAGUGGUAGAGCGCUCGCCUAGCACGUGUGAGGUCCUGGGUUCAAUCCUCAGCACCA
rnacentral:tRNA from 1 species